AUUGAACGCUGGCGGCAGGCUUAACACAUGCAAGUCGAACGAGUGGCGGACGGGUGAGUAAUGACUGGGAAAUUGCCUGCUGGCGGGGGAUAACUACUGGUAACGGUAGCUAAUACCGCAUACCAUGGGAUGGGCCCAGAUGGGAUGGGCAAGUAGGUGGGGUAAUGGCGCACCUAGGCGACCAUCCCUAGCUGGUCUGAGCGGAUGACCAGGCGAACUGGCACUGAUGCGCGUUGCAGACUCCUACGGGAGGUACCAGUGGCGGAUAUUGCACAAUGGGCUCAAUCGUCAUGCAGCCGUGCCACGUGUAUCGAGUAGGCCUUCGAGUUGUUAAGUUUUUUCAGCGGUUACGCGUUACCCGCAGAAGAAGCACCGGCUAACUCCGUGCCAGCCGCCGCGGUAAUAC
rnacentral:rRNA from 1 species